UACGUAGGUGGCAAGCGUUGUCCGGAUUUAUUGGGUUUAAAGGGUGCGUAGGCGGUCGCUUAAGUCAGUUGUGAAAUAUCCCGGCUCAACCGGGAGGGUGCGAUUGAUACUGGGCGGCUCGAGUAACAGCGAGGUUGGCGGAAUUGACGGUGUAGCGGUGAAAUGCAUAGAUAUCGUCAAGAACACCGAUAGCGAAGGCAGCCAACUAGGGGUUAACUGACGCGUGGAGGCACGAAAGUGCGGGGAUCAAACAGG
rnacentral:rRNA from 1 species